UGUUAAAAAUUUAAUCUAUUUUUAUAGUUAAAAAUUAGCGUGAUUGAUAACACAUGGCAUGUCACUUGUACCUUAUGUUAAUAUAUAGAGAUUAAUUUUUAACAGUAAAAAUGAAUGAAACUUUUAAUA
rfam:Gossypium raimondii Chr03_contig_17, whole genome shotgun sequence.